rnacentral:rRNA from 1 species
AGCUCCAAUAGCGUAUAUUAAAGUUGCUGCAGUUAAAAAGCUCGUAGUUGCAUUUCCGAGGCAAGGGAUUAGUCCGACCUUUGGUGGGUAUUUAAUCCUCUUGCCUCGUCCUUGAGUGGUGCUUCUUGGUAUUAAGUUAUCGAGGAGAUAGCCGCUCAUCGUUUACUGUGAGAAAAUUAGAGUGUUCAAAGCAGGCUUAUGCCGUUGAAUAUAUUAGCAUGGAAUAAUAAGAUAGGACCUCGUUACUAUUUUGUUGGUUUGAGAACCAAGGUAAUGAUUAAUAGGGACAGUUGGGGGUAUUCGUAUUCAGUUGUCAGAGGUGAAAUUCUUAGAUUUACGGAAGACGAACUACUGCGAAAGCAUUUACCAAGGAUGUUUUCA